UAUAUAACUGUUGUAAAAGGGAAGUUGACGAGACUCUUAAUUGAGAAAUAUCAACCACAGAUUUACAGUCAACAUCUUUAGCAGCUUGAACAUCCCAGUACAAACCUAAAACUAGAUUUUUCAAAACAGUACAAAACUCAGCCAUAACUGGAUAAAGCGGAUUUUGCUUAUCGUUAUGAAACUCAUCGUCGAUCAUGGUAAAAAGCAUGCGUGAGUAAACAUCAAUUAGUAAUUGUAGUUGAAACCAGUAGCCGGAAUCAUUUUUUAAGACAUUUUGAACAUCAAACUUCUUAUGGAACAAU